UGGGGAAUAUUGGACAAUGGGGGGAACCCUGAUCCAGCCAUGCCGCGUGUGUGAAGAAUGCCUUAUGGUUGUAAAGCACUUUAAGCGAGGAGGAGGGUACUGGUAUUAAUACUACCAGGUACUGGACGUUACUCGCAGAAUAAGCACCGGCUAACUCUGUGCCAGCAGCCGCGGUAAUACAGAGGGUGCGAGCGUUAAUCGGAUUUACUGGGCGUAAAGCGUGCGUAGGCGGCUAAUUGAGUCGGAUGUGAAAUCCCCGAGCUUAACUUGGGAAUUGCAUUCGAUACUGGUUAGCUAGAGUGUGGGAGAGGAUGGUAGAAUUCCAGGUGUAGCGGUGAAAUGCGUAGAGAUCUGGAGGAAUACCGAUGGCGAAGGCAGCCAUCUGGCCUAACACUGACGCUGAGGUACGAAAGCAUGGGGAGCAAACAGG
rnacentral:rRNA from 1 species